AUCGCCAGGGGCAUGAAAGAAAAAACAAAGUUCUCAUCGUUUCUUGUUGGAAAGGUCAGGUCCCUCUAUUUAUAUGAAAACCAAAAACUAAUCCGUUCUCCAUCUAUAAAGAAUAACAAUAAUAAAAAAAAAACCCCUGCUACUUCAUCUUUAGUCUUGGCCUGGCUUCAGUGCCUCUUUAGGUUGAAGACUUGAAUCGAUCGGUUCUUUAAUUAAUGGCUCCGGCAGCAGUUGACGAUGAUGAGAUAUUGAAGGACGAGAAGAAUCCUCCUCCUCUCGACGAAGACGACAUUGCUCUCCUCAAAACUUAUGGCUUGGGUCCAUACUCGAACAGUAUUAAGAAA